ACGGAGGGUGCAAGCGUUAUUCGGAAUUACUGGGAGUAAAGCGCGUGUAGGCGGUCCUGCAAGUCUGAUGUGAAAGCCCCGGGCAUAACCCGGGAAGUGCAUUGGAAACUGCAGGUCUUGAGUACUGGAGAGGAUGGGGGAAUUCCCGGUGUAGAGGUGAAUGUCGUAGAGAACGGGAGGAAUAGCAGUGGCGAAGAAGCCCAUCUGGACGGUAACUGACCCUGAGACGCGUAAGCGUGGGGAGCAAACAG
rnacentral:rRNA from 1 species